rnacentral:lncRNA from 1 species
CUAGCAGGUCGGAUUGUUACAAUUGGUAUCAGAGCCGAAUACCAGCCGGAAGUGUGAGAACUAAGUGCUAUACGGGACAAAGUGCUAUACCAACGGGUUUGGUGGGAGCCACCUCUUAAACCCGUAGGAGCCACCUCUAGAAUCUCACAUCGCCUGGUAAUGGUCCUGGUCUGUCUGUCUGUGAUCUGGUUUGGACCCGAUGAGGACGUCAGGGUCUAAACAGGUGGAGUUUGUAACGCCCCCAAUAGUCCCACAUCGGAUGUUUAUAUGAGGUCUACACGCUAGUAAUAAUAACUGGGCUUAAGCAUUUUUGGGGUUAUUAUUGCUGGCGGGUUCGAUAGUUGCAAUUGGUAUCAGAGCCGAAUACCAGCCGGAAGUGUGAGAGCUAAGUGCUAUGCAGGACAAAGUUCUACACCAACGGGUUUGGUGGGGAGCCACCUCUUGAACCCGUAGUAGCCACCUCUAGAAUCUCACAUCGCCUGAUAAUUCUGGUCCUAUGUCUGUCUGUCUGUGAUCUGGUUUGGACCCGACGAGGACGUCAUGGUCUAAACAUGGGGAGUUUGUAAUAAUAACUUGGCUUAAGCAUUUUGGGUCGGUGGUUUGGCCCAACGAGUUAUUAUUGCUAGCGGGUCGAGUCGUUGCAAUUGGUAUCAGAGCCGAAUACCAGCCGGAAGUGUGAGAACUAAGUGCUAUGCGGGACAAAGUGCUAUACCAACCGGUUUGGUGGGAGCCACCUCUUGAACCCGUAGGAGCCACCUCUAGAAUCUCACAUCGCCUGAUAAUUCUGGUCCUCUGUCUGUCUGUCUAUGAUUUGGUUUGGACCUGACGAGGACGUCAUGGUCUAAACAUGGGGAGUUUGUAAUAAUAACUUGGCUUAAACAUUUUGGGUCGGUGGUUUGGCCCAACGAGUUAUUAUUGCUAGCGGAUCGAGUCGUUGCAAUUGGUAUCAGAGCCGAAUACCAGCCGGAAGUGUGAGAACUAAGUGCUAUGCGGGACAAAGUGCUAUACCAACCGGUUUGGUGGGAGCCACCUCUUGAGCCCGUAGGAGCCACCUCUAAAAUCUCACAUCGCCUGGUAAUGGUCCCGGUCUGUCUGUCUGUGAUCUGGUUUGGACCCGACGAAGACGUCAGGGUCUAAACAGGGGGAGUUUGUAACGCCCCCAAUAGUCCCACAUCGGAUGGGAUACUGAUUCCGAUCAGUUUAUAUGAGGUCUACACCCUAGUAAUAAUAACUGGGCUUAAGCAUUUUGGGCCGGUGGUUUGGUUCAACGAGUUAUUAAUUGUUGCUAGCGGGUCGGGUCGUUGCAAAAUAAUAUACAAAAAAACUAGAAAUUU